rnacentral:tRNA from 1 species
AAAAUUUUAGUUUAAUAAAAAUAAUUCAUUUACAUUGAUUAGAUUAAUUAGAUUAAUUAAAGUUUUU